CAAAGACCCGCCUCCCACGACAGGAAGCCGUCGGGUAAAAAAUGUCCUGCUUAUUUACAACACGGAAGCUCGGUGACCACCAGGCAGAAACCGGGACACGUUUCUGUGAUCAAAUCUUCCCGGCGGGUGACAAUGAGUGGAAGCCCUCCAGCGAGCCGACCCGGCACGCUCGCCCCGUUUGCCAAAGAGCCAUUGUCUUAUUGUUGCUUUACACAAUGUGACUUGUUAAACCUGCAAAUGAACUCGCAUUGUAACAACGGCAUCUGGUCCCGGUUCACUUUCUUCGGGAUCGCCUCCGUAAUGGGGACGAAUGAGCCCGUCGCCGAGGAGCUUGAGGUGUGUCUGCAGAGGAGGUUCAAUCGGAUCUUUUUACAUUCCGGUUGUCGCGUCACACUUUGCAAUCGACGCGUCUCCCGUCACGUUUUGCACUGGGCAGAAAGCGCCGCUCGCAUCUGGAAAAGGACGGACGGACGGGAGGAUCAACCCGCCGCCGCCCAUUUGAGAAGAAGCGAGAUGAUCUCGGCUGCAGCGCAGUCGCCACGUCGGUGUUCACGCCACCUCUCCAGGUCAGACAGCGCAGAGCGGAUCCCGUCACGUCUCACGCAGCUGUCUGCGUAAACUCCGCCGCCGCCGAGCCCCUUCAGGUAACCCUGGGGAGGGAUUUGGCGCUCGUCAUCGCUCAGAAAGCAUCCUCAGUAGCUGCUGAAGCCACUCCCCCAAAUUCCUCUGGCGGCGCGGUGAGUCGUGGUCACAGCUACGCUAGCAGCUACGCUAGCAGCUAGCUCACCACGGUCCAGCAACGACAGCUCCCGGAUUCAUUUUUCUUGUGAGGAUAUAACUUAAAUUUAAACAAAAACACCAACGCCGCCUUUAGAAAACCCCUUUUUCAAAGUGUCGUCUGUCAUCAAAUGAGCCAGAAUGUGGGAUUGUCUUGGUAGCGGCGGCUUGUGCUCUCGAUGUGCCUUUUCAAUUAUUUUACAGGCGCGCGUGAGCGAGGUUUCCAACCCGCUCCUGUUGGUGUCACCAGCUGUUUGUAACAGUUGACAGAACAAACGGAGGCUUUUACGUUGACUCGUCUUCUGUCUGUAAAGCGCUGGAUGCUGAAGUGCUCCCAGCGCUCUUUCUAUUACCGGGUUUAUUUGCGGUCUUCUAUUUUGGAUGCGACCUAUUUAAGAGGGCGGUGUGUGUUUAUGCAGCCCUCUCGGGUUACUGCGCCGCGGUAAUUACGCUCCCUGCUUUUAGCUGUCAUAACACUCGCUGUUUGGGCUCGCGGAGGACGGCCUGGGGGGUGUCACGCCGGGCGAAAACCGCUCCCCGGGCAUCGCAACCCGUGUUUAACUGCAGGGUCCGGCAUGAAGCGGACACAGAAGCAGAUGAGGACCGAAGUGGAGGACAGCCGGAGGACGGCCGGUCCUCCUUCCUGCGCCCAGAACCAUCGAGCGAGCUCCUCCGAGGUGUAGUUAGCUCAUCCAGCCGUGUGCAUGAUGGAUGAUCCCAGGGACGCGCCGGUUCUGACCCAGCUUGGAAUCAGCAGCAGUGUCUCCCCCGCGUUCAAAUCAGAUCUUUAAAUAAACCACAGCCACGUAAACGCAGCGAGCGUCAUUCACAUAAAAAAACAGUCGUCCUUUGCUAAAAAGACAAGCGGCUUCAGACCGUUUUCACUCCUUCUGAACACAGAGACGUUGGACAAUUCUUAUACUAAGACUACGACGAUAACGCCUCGAGGGAGGACGUCAGGUUGCGUGCUGUAAAGACAUUUGGGUCAAACAAGGACACGCGUGUUUGUGGCGUGUGGAAGCUUCAUCUCGCCACCUUGAAGGUGUUUGAUGCAGGAACCCUGGGGAGUUAGAAGGUACGAGCGCAGCACAGUGUUUGGUGAUGUCGUUGCGGCGCAUCCCGCAAAACCCGCGGCAUUGUUGUUGACAGUCGGCGACGAGGAAGUCCGGGGCACUGAGGCUCUGCUGCAGCUCCUCGCUCGCACUCGGUCCGUUGUUCUUCCUCUAAGUGAAUUAAAGCACGAUAUCCACCGCAUUCAGGGCGCCGCCGCUGCUGUUUCCAAGGUAACCACCAACUGGCAUCCCGGUGAACCUCAUCAUCACAAAGCAACAUAAACAUCCUUACAUGGUUUUUUUAUUUCCAAUUAAUGUUACCCGCCGCCGUUAAUCACACCGUUACCCCCCCCCCCGGGACCUCUGGGGGUCUGAGGAGUGGAUUCACCAUCACCAUUGCUUUAACGGGACACUUUUUAUAAUCAACUCCUGCAGCUCGCUAAUCAUUUUAAUGCUCUGUUUUGCUGCUUUAUUGUCUCGACAAUCAUUCCGAAGAUGCGUUCUUUUAUCUGUGGACCGAUCACGCGCCGGAGGAGCGUCCCUCCCCCCGAAGGCAGGAACACAAAGCGCACAAGAAUCUGAAGGUCUGAGCGCUGAGCUGCUACCCGACGCCACGUAGCGCUGCACAUCUCGCUCCUUCGCCCCUUCACUGUCUCACUCUUUACCCGGCGUCGCUCGGCGUGGCCGCGCUGACGCAGACGGAUUUGCGUGGCAGACAGUUGGAGGCCCGAGGACGGGAGGAGAUUGCUUCACGAGGCGUCCGGGCCGCGCUGGAUGUCUGGAGGGUGAUUUGCCAAAAAUCUGUCAAAGAAAAAGUUCUGCAGUGGUGAUUGAGCAAGUCUCGCCGUGAGCGUUGGCGUAAUUUACUGAGAAGACUAUUAUUUCAGUUCUAUGUACCUUUGCCUCAAAUAGCAAUGUUUUUUUCUGGAAAUGUCAUUCAGGAUUAAUUGGCGUUAAUGGAUUAAUAUUUGAUUUAAAAGUAGUAACCAUGCAAACAGUAUCGACAAAUAAGCUUCUUUCUGCAGCUUUAUUCCCUUUACACAGUAGCAGCUAAAACAUUUAUUCUGAACCUCAACUUAAAGAAAUCUUCUUUAAUCUAAACUACAUAACAUGUUUUAAUAUAAAACUAAAGCCAUUUGCAACUGCCAGAGGCUUAAUGUUGAAUCCGGUUUGUUAUAAAAAAACAAGUUGCAUCAUAACAGGCAGCUACCGUGUAGCAGCAAGUCCGCAUCUAUAAAUCAGUUCUUUUGUUUCCUGACAGAAGGAACACUUCUCAGCAUAAACGCUCCGCUCGGUAGCCGCGGUAUUUGUUCUAAAUGUUUGUUGGUGCAUUGAUGUUUUAUUGGUGUUUAUAAGAAGCGGUGCUCCGUAGUUAAACACCCGCUGUGUGCCAGGUACCACUGACUGUGUGCUAGUUAGCUUAGCAACAACUGCCAAGCCGUUUAUUGUCCGUUUGUCAUCAGACGUCGGGUAAUAAAGUGGCGCUGGCCUGGCGGCUAACUUAGGUGGCUCGUGAUUGGCCCGGGAGGGUGUGUGGGCGGGGCCUCGGUGCUGUGGCUCCCGGCGCACACGAUCACAAACUGUCAGACUCUCCACAUCUGCAGAAGUUCAGGAGGCUGCCAACGCAGUGACGUAAGCGUCACUUACCUUUUAUUUUAAUUAAUAUACUUAUUCUCCAUCAGAAACUCCCACGUUCCGUUAAAAAGAAGAUUGUCCAGGUAGACUCAUUGUUUACAUGUACGUGUGUGAGAUAAACUUCACUUCACAUCACCUCCCGCCACUGUACGUUUGAUUGACAUGUGAAUAGAGCUCAAAAACACCACGGAGAUUAUCUCCUAGCAACACGGAUGCAAACAAAACAAAACAGGAAUAACACUGUGUAGCUGUGGUGUCAUCAAUACGACUACAUGCGCGUGUAUUCGCACAUCACACAAUGCGCCAGGAGCCACGAUGAAAGCGCUUUAUUUUCGCUGGAAUUUGGAAACAUAUUAUUCAUUUUCACUGCAGCAUCUUUGGACGAAAAGCUUCAGACUGUUCUGAUCUCGGCUGGAAUCUCUAAAGUGAAACUGGUAGUCCGGUGCGGCACGCACUUUCCCACAAGUUCCCCAUAAAGUGGAGAAUGUGCCUAAUCCCGUGCAGAGUUAUGACAUAUGGUCGGUGGCUUAAGCGAUCUGGGGCCAUCUUAAGAUUGAGCUGGAAUGCUAUUCCCGAAGGGGAGAGCGAAGGUAAAUAAAGGAGACAGUGCUCGGCAGAUAUGGGAAAAUAUUGACACCACUGACCUCCGUGCUUAACUGAUUAAAGGCGGUAACAUCUCGCAGCUGUCUACUCAACAACUUUUAAAAAAGGGAAACCACAUAGGACCCCUAAAAGUGUGUUUCUUACGCCAAUGAUGCUCACAUGAUACACACACAACUGACAUCCUGUGUUUUGGUAGGAUGGACGGAAUAAAAGGGCAGAAGAGAGAAGAAGAAGGAUUUUAAAUGUAAAAACAAUAAAGCCGCUGUGAAGGAUUUAGUGUCAUUUAAUGAAAACUCUACAAAGCGCGAUGAAUAUCAGAGGCGGGGGAGUGAUUCUAAAAGAUACAUUUGUGAGAAACACUGAGCAAUCGUUGCUUCGUUUUCCGCGGUUGAAUCGUCCUCAUUUCGCUGUGUUCAGAUACGGUUGGUGAAAACAGCCGCGCUAAAGUUAAACUGCAACCAUGUGUCUACACGCAUAUGGGCAUAUGUGAUGCUUUUACUCGCUGCAAACUGUCAUUGGUGGGGAUUCAUUCAGACAGAAGUGGAUUCGAUUCGACGCAUUUGAGCCGCUGUCGCUUUGCAUCGAAGCUCGUCACGUGAAAAGCCUCACACGAUUCCCGGCUACGGCUCCUCGUGGCUUGGUUUCCGUCUGCAGACAGCAACUAGCGCACACGGCACCUGCAGGGCAGCUCUCUUCAGAUGGACCCGCCUGCCCUGUGAUCCAUAUCAUUCCCCCCAUAACGGGUUUUCAGACAGACUGAUGAAUGUGCCAAGCGCUCUCACCGAAAAAACAACCCCCCCCCCCCCCGGCUCAAUGGGCUGCUCGCUCGACCCUCGCAGCGCCACAUGAUUACUGAGCUCCUUUACCGAUCAAUACGGAUCAAUGCAGUGUGCUGCUCUUGGCUGGAGGAGAGGGAGGGGAGGACGAAGGACACUCACAGAGGAGCAACGUGGAUUAAAACACGUGGAAAUGAAAUAAGUGACAUAAUUACUUCACUGCACUCAGAGGAUCGUUGAGAAGUUUUGAUUAAGCUUCUUUCAUUCAGGAAUGUUUUGCAAGAAAUGUCUUGCUGCUGCAACAGGCUACCUUCACAUGAUGUGAUGCCCGUUUCUUCUUGGGGGGGGGUUUAGAGCUUGAAUGGUGCCGUUUGGUGUCUGCGUCACUAACCAUUAAGCACAAAGGGCCUCCGUGGCACUCGAGCAGAGCUUGACUCGGAGUUUCGUCACCUGAAUGAAGACACACGACAAACUGGCACUCAAACCGCCUGCAGCGUUGCCGCCUUCAACUCGCGGCAGACGAGGCGACACACAAAGGGCCGUCGGGGGACAUUCGGGGGUUUGCACAGUCUCGCCUCUGAAAGAGACGUCUCCGUUUGACAGCUCGUGACAGGUCUCGUCCCUCCCCCGGUCUACGCGCUCAGGUCUCACUCGCCUGCACACAGCGUUACACUCAGCGUAUGGAGCCAGGAGCGCGUGCACACGCGUGCACGCCUGCACACACACGCGCUCCAUCUCUCUCGCACACACACACACACACACACACACACGAACUAGCAAGGUGGGAGGAGUCAGCGGUAAAAGACUUGUAAUUUGUGUUUUGCCAACAAAGGCCGGCUAAUCCUGCAGGGGGGCUUUGUCGCAGCUGCUAUUGUGUGUUUGUGUGGUGUGUGUGUGUGUGUGUGCGAGUGGGGGAGAGGCAGAAAGAGAGAGGAGGUGUG
ensembl:lncRNA